rnacentral:lncRNA from 1 species
ACGACUACGUUGACACCUCAGACCUGGCCAUUUAUAGGGAUGACGACCGGGGGAGGCCGCCCCCCCAAAUGGAGUUACCGUUGGUACCGCCGGCCAUGUGCUACCGUAAACUAGCUGCUUUCUUGGAGUUAGAUUGUUCUAUGGCAACGUUGCUGAUAUGUCAGGCAAAGGCGCAAGGGCGCGACCACAGUUGCCGGCGAAAUGCUAAUGCAACCGCCACAGACGAAGCACAAAGGAUGGCAAGCCACAAAGCUUUACACAUAUAUGUGUAAGGCCACAUAAGUCCGAUAAACAAUGGCCAGCUCGCUUGGGCUCAGUCAACUCGCCCGCUUGGCCCAGGAAAUCUCAAGUCCCGAAGGCCUCCGCAAGCCGAAUGUUUUCAUGGAGACUGGAUCUAAAGGAAAUGUUUCAAGUGACGGGGAAGCCCGGCGGUAGAGAUCAUCGGCUCCACCAACUCCCGAUCCGCACCGGAACCAAACUGGAAUGUCGGACGAAAAACUCACAAACAGGCUAUACUGCGUGGCUAUUUCCACACGGCUUCAUGUAUACAAGUUACAGCACGGCUUCAUGUGUAGAAGCUACUAAGUAUAGCGUCAUUUAUUCCGCCCAAAGCGAUUGCCACCCAAAGGUUACGCGCAUAGGAGCGUUAGUGCGUCUUUACCCAUCUGCUAAAUGUAAAUAUGCCUGAAGAUGAUAAUGAAUCCCUUAGUUCGAUAGACAGUAACGACUCCUGGCUCGGCGAAAUCGUUGCAGCGACAGUCCCACAAAUGACAGCGACAGCGACACCGAGUGAGACACUGACAGUUUAACUGAUGGCGAGACAGUCGUCACCGGCGCUGGGGCAGCGGGACUGCUUGCCGCAGUGGGCACAGGCGCACAGGCGGCCGCAUAACGUGGCGAAACUCUUCAGGUAUAUCUUGCCCAUGCUCAUGUGCGCCGUAUGGCUUGUCCCCCGUUGGAAACAAGUCAAUACCGUUUGUGGCGUUCUUGCCGAAUGGCUCCGCAUCCCGCAGGGUCCGCUCCAGAAUCCCUCCCCGCCACAUCCGGAUAUGCUGGCGUUCAUGGAGUUCCAAUCUAUAGUGGACAGGGAUAAGGAUUGUAACAACGAGUGACCCUGUCAGGCGAUAGCGCUUACAACCCCAUGGGUCAGACGCCCCUUCCUUAGCAAUAGGAUUUGCGUUCGGUCCCUUAUCUUCACUACAUGCACAAAGUACGGCUGGCCCCGAUUGCGCUAUGUGUGGCUUCCCCGCUACUUUCCUGUGCACCGCCAACACCGUGGCGGAGCGUGUUUUCGACAUCUACUAAAGCCCCCCCGUGCGCAGCGCCGUUCCAACAGCAGUGGCGGCAGCACCGCCAAAGACAGUCAACACAAACGAAAGCAUCGUGGACCUGAAACACUAUUAAUUCGUACUACGGUACGAUGUACUCUAAAUAAUUACGGUAUUCUGCCCUUAUAUGUCUGUAUGUGUGUCUGUAUGUUCGCAUUUCGCGCCACAUUCAGAUGAACAUGCAAACACAACAUACAUACACAUACACACACUCGUCCAUGCACAAUGAUGUAACGCUCACGACCAGAGCACAGAACCCCAACGCGUUUCCCAUGCUCUACCGCUGCUGUGCUAGCAGUCCUACCACUAUCACUAGUCGGCAACCAUCCAAAGCAAAACAAAGAUCUCAACUACAUAAAGCAUGUUCGGAUUCUCUCCGAUUUUGGAUUGAGUUUAUCGAUACUCAAUAAUAGUAAAAACCCCGGUAUUGUCGUAUGGUGUUACGUAUGCACAUUCAAAUUAUUGUUCUCUCCGGCCUCUCGCAUUCCGACAUCUUCCCUCUUCAACUUCACCAACCAAGCACCAACAAACCAACUGUUUUUUUCACAACGACAAUGGUGGAAAGAGUUUAGAUGGAUCAUGUACGACCGGUACGACGGCACGAGGAUGGAAGGCAAACGAAAUGGCGAUAAAACCGGACGGCCUUCGGGACGAGGACAAAUGUUUUGGGCAACAAAAACAUUUGUGAAGUUCGAAUUCACAUGAUAUCACACACAUACGCACAUACAUACACAUGCACACAGAGGGGGAAAGAGGAGGGGAGGGUGGUAGAGAGGGAACCCAUACCCAAAGGUUUUUGCGGUGGCGUGUUCGCUUUCCCCUACUCGCGACAAGCCCGGGCUAUCACCGCUAUCCCUGUCCCCUCAAACACAAAACCCCCAAAUAACCCCCCCCCAACACACACACACUCACCACCCCCACCACCGUUCUCGUUACCCAUCCAUUAAGCCAGCCUCCAGAAAUCUGUUUCAAAACCAAUCCUUCCUAGAUCUCAUCCAUCUCCUUAUAUUUCCUAAAUCUCCGUUGUUCCAAAUCUACCGCAGAUAACACGAUAACACAAACGAUGCGCCGUACCGUACGUACGGCAAAGACACGCCUAAUGCAAACCCAACAUCGUAACACUGCACAAAAAUAACACAUCAUAUCACACAAUAUGUACUUUGUUUUAUAAUUAGAUGAUGCAUCAAACCCGCCCCCGAGCAUCACGACAGAUCAAUCGAGAUUUCACUUAACCCCCCGGGGAAGAUCGGAUGGACACAGACACACACACACACACACACACAUACAUACACACGCGCCGCAGUAGCCUCUCUCCAAACAACCUCCCUCCCUCCCUCCCCGCUCCAUCCCAUCGCCAUCCCCUUUACCUUCCCCCCAACCCCCGCGGGUAAGGCCCGGGUGGGGGGUAGGCGUGGGGGUUAGGCGAAACAACUCGUUCCCCCCGACCAAUCGCCCCCACCCCCCCACCCCGGUGAGAAAAACACACAGACAGGGAACCAGCAGCUUCCCUUCAGGCACGGGCCCCAAGUCCCCCCCUCUAACCACACACCACACCACACCUACACAUACACACACGCGCACUCUCUCACUCACGCAACCCCCCCCCACCACCUCUCAAAACAACAACCAGCACUAACCCAAAACUCUCCCUCCGCUGCCUCCCCCUC